GAUGAACGCUGGCGGCGUGCCUAAUACAUGCAAGUCGAGCGAAUGGAUUAAGAGCUUGCUCUUAUGAAGUUAGCGGCGGACGGGUGAGUAACACGUGGGUAACCUGCCCAUAAGACUGGGAUAACUCCGGAAAACCGGGGCUAAUACCGGAUAACAUUUUGAACCGCAUGGUUCGAAAUUGAAAGGCGGCUUCGGCUGUCACUUAUGGAUGGACCCGCGUCGCAUGAGCUAGUUGGUGAGGUAACGGCUCACCAAGGCAACGAUGCGUAGCCGACCUGAGAGGGUGAUAAGCCACACUGGGACUGAGACACGGCCCAGACUCCUGCGGGAGGCAGCAGUAGGGAAUCUUCCGCAAUGGACGAAAGUCUGACGGAGCAACGCCGCGUGAGUGAUGAAGGCUUUCGGGUCGUAAACCUCUGUUGUUAGGGAAGAACAAGUGCUAGUUGAAUAAGCUGGCACCUUGACGGCACCUAACCAGAAAGCCACGGCUAACUACGUGCCAGCCGCCGCAGUAA
rnacentral:rRNA from 1 species